GACGAACGCUGGCGGCGUGCCUAAUACAUGCAAGUCGAGCGGACUUUUCAAAAGCUUGCUUUUGGAAAGUCAGCGGCGGACGGGUGAGUAACACGUGGGCAACCUGCCUGUAAGACUGGGAUAACUUCGGGAAACCGGAGCUAAUACUGGAUAAUAUAAGGAACAUCCUGGUUCUUUAUUGAAUGAUGGUUUCGGCUAUCACUUACAGAUGGGCCCGCGGCGCAUUAGCUAGUUGGUGAGGUAACGGCGCACCAAGGCGACGAUGCGUAGCCGACCUGAGAGGGUGAUCGGCCACACUGGGACUGAGACACGGCCCAGACUCCUACGGGAGGCAGCAGUAGGGAAUCUUCCACAAUGGACGAAAGUCUGAUGGAGCAACGCCGCGUGAGCGAUGAAGGCCUUCGGGUCGUAAAGCUCUGUUGUUAGGGAAGAACAAGUGCGAGAGUAACUGCUCGCACCAUGACGGUACCUAACCAGAAAGCCACGGCUAACUACGUGCCAGCCGCCGCGGUAAGAC
rnacentral:rRNA from 1 species